rnacentral:ncRNA from 2 species
AUUUUAUAAUGAUCGAUCGGUUUUGAUGAGGAACAGUCAUCAAACGCAAGGGGGAAAGUUCAGUGUAAAUCUGACGCUGUCCCGCAACUGUGAUGAGGUUUGCUUUAUUGAUAAUCUCUUAGUCAGGAUGCCCGCCGAUUUAUAGUUAUCAGA